rnacentral:lncRNA from 1 species
GCCAGCCUAUUGACAAUUGUGUUCAUAUUUGUAUAUUGUAUAUGAAUGUUUAUUAAUAAAAGUUAUUUAGCUUUUUCAUCAUAUUUUAUCUAUCUUCUUAGAACUCCUGUAUUGUGAUGAAGUCUUUAGGACUAUAUUUAAUUGAUAAAGGAGGAUUUGUCGUUUAGUCCUUAAAACAUGUUUGCGAUCAAAUGAUAUGCUGUUAAUAAGAUGAUAGCGAUAUCAAGUAUAGGUCGUUGUGUGUCAUAUGGGUUGGUUGUUAUCUUAACCAAGGAGUGUAGUGACACUGGUAUGGCAUACAGAUGG